UACGUAGGGGGCAAGCGUUAUCCGGAUUUACUGGGUGUAAAGGGAGCGUAGACGGCGAUGCAAGUCUGAAGUGAAAGGCGGGGGCCCAACCCCCCGGACUGCUCUGGAAACUGUGUAACUGGAGUGCAGGAGAGGCAGGCGGAAUUCCUAGUGUAGCGGUGAAAUGCGUAGAUAUUAGGAGGAACACCAGUGGCGAAGGCGGCUUACUGGACUGUAACUGACACUGAGGCUCGAAAGCGUGGGGAGCAAACAGGG
rnacentral:rRNA from 1 species